UGGGGAAUUUUGGACAAUUGGGCGAAAGCCUGAUCCAGCAAUGCCGCGUGAGGGAUGACGGCCUUCGGGUUGUAAACCUCUUUUCAGUACCGACGAAGCGAAAGUGACGGUAGGUACAGAAGAAGGACCGGCCAACUACGUGCCAGCAGCCGCGGUAAUACGUAGGGUCCGAGCGUUGUCCGGAAUUAUUGGGCGUAAAGGGCUCGUAGGCGGUUUGUCGCGUCGGGAGUGAAAACAGCGGGCUUAACUCGUUGCUUGCUUUCGAUACGGGGCAGACUAGAGGGUAUGCAGGGGAGAAUGGAAUUCCUGGUGUAGCGGUGAAAUGCGCAGAUAUCAGGAGGAACACCGGUGGCGAAGGCGGUUCUCUGGGCAUUACCUGACGCUGAGGAGCGAAAGUGUGGGGAGCGAACAGGAUUAGAUACCCCUGGUAGUCCACACCGUAAAACGUUGGGGCGCUAGGUGUGGGGUCCUUUCCACGGAUUCCGUGCCGUAGCUAACGCAUUAAGCGCCCCCGCCUGGGGGAGUACGGCCGCAAGGCU
rnacentral:rRNA from 1 species